rnacentral:pre_miRNA from 14 species
UUUUAUCUUUCCAGUGAAAGAUCCCAUGCAGAGAGACCCUUACUCAAGUCUUGGGAAAUCGAGGACCCCAGACACAGAGAGACCA